UACGUAGGUGGCAAGCGUUGUCCGGAAUUAUUGGGCGUAAAGAGCUCGUAGGCGGUGUGUCACGUCGGCCGUGAAAACCUGCAGCUUAACUGUGGGCGUGCGGUCGAUACGGGCAUCACUGGAGUUCGGCAGGGGAGACUGGAAUUCCGGGUGUAGCGGUGAAAUGCGCAGAUAUCAGGAGGAACACCGGUGGCGAAGGCGGUUCUCUGGGCAUUACCUGACGCUGAGGAGCGAAAGUGUGGGGAGCGAACAGG
rnacentral:rRNA from 1 species